UACGGAGGAUGCGAGCGUUAUCCGGAUUUAUUGGGUUUAAAGGGUGCGUAGGCGGCCGAGUAAGUCAGCGGUGAAAUUUUGCAGCUUAACUGUAACAGUGCCGUUGAUACUGCAUGGCUAGGAUUUGGUUGCUGUGGGUGGAAUGUGUGGUGUAGCGGUGAAAUGCUUAGAUAUCACACAGAAUAUCAAUUGCGAAGGCAGCUCACAAAGCCAAGAUUGACGCUGAGGCACGAAAGUGUGGGGAGUCAAACA
rnacentral:rRNA from 1 species